AGAGUUUGAUCCUGGCUCAGGACGAACGCUGGCGGCGUGCCUAACACAUGCAAGUCAAGGAGAAUUCCCGACUUGUCGGGAUAGUAAACUGGCGAACGGGUGAGUAACACGUAGGUAAUCUGCCCUCGGGAUCGGGAUAACCUCGCGAAAGUGGGGAUAAUACCGAAUAAAAUCUCGGUAUAAUUUGUCGAGAUGAAAGAUAGGGCUCUUCGGACCUAUUACCUGAGGAUGAGCCUGCGCCUGAUUAGCUAGUUGGUAGGGUAAAGGCCUACCAAGGCAACGAUCAGUAGCUGGUCUGAGAGGAUGAUCAGCCACAUUGGGACUGAGAUACGGCCCAGACUCCUACGGGAGGCAGCAGUGAGGAAUUUUGCGCAAUGGGCGAAAGCCUGACGCAGCAACGCCGCGUGACUGAUUAAGCUCUGAGGAGUGUAAAAGUCUGUCGUAGAGGAAGAAACUAUCUGAUAAUAAUAUUUUCAGAUACUGACGGUACUCUAUGAGAAAGCUCCGGCUAACUCCGUGCCAGCAGCCGCGGUAAUACGGGGGGAGCAAGCGUUGUCCGGAAUCACUGGGCGUAAAGAGCGCGUAGGCGUC
rnacentral:rRNA from 1 species